AAUGGCCGCAAGGCUGAUCCAGCCAUCCAGCGUGCAGGAAGAAGGCCCUACGGGUUGUAAACUGCUUUUAUCAGGGAAGAAACCUUUGGAUUUACUCCGAAGCUGACGGUACCUGAAGAACAAGCACCGGCUAACUCCGUGCCAGCAGCCGCGGUAAUACGGAGGGUGCGAGCGUUANCCGGAAUUACUGGGUUUAAAGGGUGCGUAGGCGGCUGUGUAAGUCAGAAGUGAAAGUUUGCGGCUUAACCGUAAAAUUGCUUUUGAUACUGCAUGGCUAGAAUAAGGAUGAGGUCAGCGGAAUGUGGCAUGUAGCGGUGAAAUGCAUAGGUAUGCCAUAGAACACCAAUUGCGAAGGCAGCUGACUAGACCUGGAUUGACGCUGAGGCACGAAAGCGUGGGGAGCGAA
rnacentral:rRNA from 1 species